rnacentral:rRNA from 1 species
CAGAGAGGUGGGCAACUACCACUCAGGGCCGGAAAGCUCUCCAAACUUGGUCAUUUAGAGGAAGUAAAAGUCGUAACAAGGUCUCCGUUGGUGAACCAGCGGAGGGAUCAUUA